rnacentral:rRNA from 1 species
GAUGAACGCUGGCGGCGUGCCUAAUACAUGCAAGUCGAGCGAACAGACCAUUUUCUUUCUCCUCUCACGUUAGCGGCUUACGUGUGAUUAACACGUUUAUAACCUACCUAUAUUUCUUGUAUAACUUCGUGAUACCUUAUCUCAUACCGGAUAAUAUAUUUAACCUCUUUGUUCUUUAGUGAAUUACUGUUUUGCUGUCACUUAUAGAUUUUUCCGCGCCGCAUUAGCUAGUUUGUAAGGUAACGGCUUACCAAGGCGACGAUGCGUAGCCGACGUGAGAGGGUGAUCGGCCACACUGGAAGUGAGACACGGAAAAGAGUACUAAGGGAGGCAACAGAAGGGAAGAGUGGGAAAUGGGCGAAAGCCUGAGGGAGGAAGGCCGAGUGAGUGAUGAAGGACUUCGGAUCGGAAAACUCUGUUAGUAGGGAAGAACAAAUGUGUAAGUAAAAAUGCACGGAGUGACGGUAACUAAUAAGAAAGCAACGGCUAACUACGUG